AACUGGUAGAGGCAACUGCGCUCAGGUCUCCUUCCGGUGUGUGGGUUGUUUGUUCUUUUGCUCUUCGCAGUAAAUUUUGCUGGUGCUCAGUCCUUGGGUCUGCACUACCUUUAUGAGCUGUAAGACUGACUGUGCAGGUCUGCGGCUUCAUUUCUGAAGUCAGCAAGACCAUGAACCCACCAGAAGGAAGAAACAAACUCUGGACACAUCUGAACAUCUGAAGGAAAAAAUUCCGGACACACCAUCUUUAAGAACUGUGACACUCACCGCAAGGGUCUGUGGCUUCAUUCUUGAAGCAAUGAGACGAAGAACCCACCAGAAGGAACCAAUUCCGGACACAUUUUGGCGACCACAAAGGGAAAAUCGACUAUCACCAAGCGGCUUGGGUAUGUCCUUAUCAGCAGCAUGAAAAUGGACUAAUACAAAUAUGCUGAGUUAAGUCCUGGACAAGGUUGAAUCCCAGGUCACCACCGAGGAACAGGAGAGGCCAGGCUCCUACCCCCUGCAGAUGGCACAAACUUCCCGAGGCCUCACCCCAUCCCCCCAAUGCACAGAAACACUUUGCCAACCUCUGGACUAGACUGAGUAAAGCAAGCAGAAAGAUCCAAUUUUAAAAAGAGGUGAGGAAAAUGGGACAACUUGGCUAUGGAGAGAGCAAGAAGAAUGCAACUGAUGUGCACAAAGUUUGAAGACAAAGUUACUCAGUUUAGAUCAGGGGUCCACAACCCCCAGCCAUGGACCAGUACUGAUUUGUGGCCUGUUAGGAACUCAGUUGCAGUAGGAGGUGAAUGCCAGGCCUAAAUGAAUAAAGGCAUGACACUGAGAUUGAAGGCUAGUUCUACUUCAGAACCACAGAGACAUGAGCACCAGCAAGUUUGAGGUUGGAUAAGGAUCUUCAGAACUCCUCAGCUUCAGAUGGUCAAGCACUGCUUCCUCCCUUCUUCAACGGCAUCUCUAGCAUGUAUACUUCCCUUAAAUCCACCUUCGUAGCAUUUGCUGAUGGAAGAGGCACAACAGAGUCCAUGCCUUCACCUCCUCUGGCCAACUCUAAUCAUGAAUCUCCUGUGAAUCAGCUGGGAAACAUGCAGAAUAUGAGAUUGGGGCCCUCAUUCAUACUAACUGGAAUUUUCCUUGGCAAUGGUAGAACAGAAGCUUCUCCAUUCUUUACAGAUGAAUUUGCUUUAAGUAAGAUCUUCCCAGAGUACAAAAGAAAUUUAUUCGGAAAAUUUCAAACUAAUAUGGCCUUCUCACUGGAACUGGAUCCACCAUCCCUUUUGCUCAGUGUCGUCUUGUUUAUGUUUUAGAUCCUUUGCAAGGUGAGCUACACCUCUGAGAGGAGCUCCUGGAAAUUACCAGAUACUUAAUGUUGCCAGCUGUUACAGAUGGAGGUGAUGCACCUUGAUGAUGCAUAAGUACUGAGCCUGAAUCCUACAAAUGGGAAAAGGUGCUCAUAUCAGACUUAUGCAUUAGAUAUCAAACUACAAAAUACAAGUGCAGUUGAUACCUGUUUAGAUGAUGUAGAGCAAGGUAACAGAGUAUGUAUUAAAAGCAAAAAUUCCCAUGAAGCUGAACCGUUACUCUCUGCCAAAACCUCCCACUCUCAAGUUUUAAGAGCCAAUAAACCUUGUAUCUGUACGUUCA
rnacentral:lncRNA from 1 species